rnacentral:rRNA from 1 species
UGGCUCAGGAUGAACGCUGGCGGUAUGCUUAACACAUGCAAGUCGAACGGGCUCCUUAGGGAGCUAGUGGCGGACGGGUGAGUAACGCGUGAGAAUCUAGCUUCAGGUUCGGGACAACAUUGGGAAACCGAUGCUAAUACCGAAUGUGCCGAGAGGUGAAAGGCUUGCUGCCUGAAGAAGAGCUCGCGUCUGUAUUAGCUAGUUGGUGGUAGGUAAGGACUACCGAAGGCGACGAUCAGUAGCUGGUCUGAGAGGAUGAUCAGCCACACUGGAACUGAGACACGGUCAGACUCCGUACGGGAGGCAGCAGGUGGGGUAAUUUUCCGCAAGUGGGACGAAAGCCUGACGGAGCAAUACCGCGUGAGGGAGG